AACGUAGGUCCCGAGCGUUGUCCGGAUUUAUUGGGCGUAAAGCGAGCGCAGGUGGUUUAAUAAGUCUGAUGUAAAAGGCAGUGGCUCAACCAUUGUGUGCAUUGGAAACUGUUAGACUUGAGUGCAGUAGAGGAGAGUGGAAUUCCAUGUGUAGCGGUGAAAUGCGUAGAUAUAUGGAGGAACACCGGUGGCGAAAGCGGCUCUCUGGACUGUAACUGACACUGAGGCUCGAAAGCGUGGGUAGCAAACAGG
rnacentral:rRNA from 1 species